rnacentral:rRNA from 1 species
CUACGGGCGGCAGCAGUGAGGAAUAUUGGUCAAUGGACGCAAGUCUGAACCAGCCAUGCCGCGUGCAGGAUGACGGCCCUAUGGGUUGUAAACUGCUUUUAUUAAGGAAUAAACCCCAUUACGUGUAAUGGGCUGAACGUACUUAAAGAAUAAGCAUCGGCUAACUCCGUGCCAGCAGCCGCGGUAAUACGGAGGAUGCAAGCGUUAUCCGGAUUCAUUGGGUUUAAAGGGUUCGCAGGCGGCGUAUUAAGUCAGUGGUGAAAUCCCCCGGCUCAACCGGGGAACUGCCAUUGAUACUGGUAUGCUAGAGUAUAGUUGGCGUAGGCGGAAUAUUUCAUGUAGCGGUGAAAUGCUUAGAUAUGAAAUAGAACACCGAUCGCGAAGGCAGCUUACGAAACUAUAACUGACGCUCAGGAACGAAAGCGUGGGGAGCGAACAGGAUUAGAUACCCGAGUAGUC